rnacentral:rRNA from 1 species
CCUACGGGCGGCAGCAGUGGGGAAUAUUGGGCAAUGGAGGAAACUCUGACCCAGCAACGCCGCGUGAAUGAUGAAGGUCUUCGGAUUGUAAAGUUCUUUUCUAAGGGAAGAAGAAAGUGACGGUACCUGACUAAGAAGCCCCGGCUAACUACGUGCCAGCAGCCGCGGUAAUACGUAGGGGGCAAGCGUUAUCCGGAUUUACUGGGUGUAAAGGGAGCGUAGACGGCAGCGCAAGUCUGGAGUGAAAUCCCAUGGCUUAACCAUGGAACUGCUUUGGAAACUGUGCAGCUGGAGUGCAGGAGAGGUAAGCGGAAUUCCUAGUGUAGCGGUGAAAUGCGUAGAUAUUAGGAGGAACACCAGUGGCGAAGGCGGCUUACUGGACUGUAACUGACGUUGAGGCUCGAAAGCGUGGGGAGCAAACAGGAUUAGAUACCCCUGUAGUC